rfam:Kwoniella mangroviensis CBS 10435 unplaced genomic scaffold supercont2.1, whole genome shotgun sequence.
AUCUACGGUCAUAGAAUCUAGAAAGUACUGCAUCCCGUCAGAUCUGCAAAGUUAACCUAGACAUCGCUCGAUUAGUACCAAGGUUGGGGACAACUUGGGAAUCCCGAGUGCUGUAGUUU